AGAUAUUAAGUUGGUGCAAAAGUAAUUGCAGUUUUUGCCACUAAAAGUAAUGACAAAAAUUACUUUUGCACCAACCUAAUACUAU
rnacentral:miRNA from 1 species